CUAUAUUACACACACACACACACACACAUUCUUAUCAUUUUAAUGAUUGUUAAUUUCUAAUUUACAGCAGAAAUGGGAGGAUUCCUACUUAGUUUUUUUUUUUCUUUUAAGACCAAAAAAAAAAAAUAAUAAUUGCUAACAAAUUUUCUAAAACCUUAGAAAAAAAACAUGACACCAUUGCUGGUGAUAUCAUGUCGGCACGGAUGACAAUAUUACCGCCUGUUUGGCAUCAGAAAGACACAAAAAGGACAUUUAACCAACAGCACCACCACCCACAACAACAACUACACUACCUCACAGAUGAAGAUCCAAGCAAAGUGUGUGGCCCUUUUGACAAGCCAACCCCAGGUCUGUGGUACAAACUUACUGUUUCGAAGUGUUUUAAAUUAACACCUACCUUUAAAAAAUUCCAUGGUGAUUUAUGUUGCAAACACCAGCUGAAUAAUGACAAUUAUUUCACUAAAUUCUUCACCCCUUUCGAAAUUACUUGAAACAAUGGUAGUGUACACCAAGAGAAACAUGGUAACGAAAGGGUUAAAGACCCUCAUUUCUCAAAGGCACAUUGGAAGACAACGGAAAGAAGUAAAACAAAGGAAAAACUAAAAAAGAUUUAAACAUGACGAAGGAACAAUACAGCUAAUGACCUGGAAACGAGGGCCGAGAGAGAUACAUAAUGUUGGUGUUUGAAGUACUGUGAAGCCAAUGUCUGAAGGAAUGGAAUUUCAGAGAAGAGGUAACGUUCUAGGAAGGAAGUGUUGGAUGUAGUGGUUUGUCAGAGGGAGCUGGAGUGUAUAGCUAUUGGGAGCAGAAGAGAUGGACAUAACGAGAAGGCGUGACAAAGAAAGCCAGGUCGCGCACCUGAAACGAACCACGUUCAAACCAGACCACGCAUGAAUGCGUUCAACCGUGUGUGAGAAGAGAGAAAUGCAACCAUGAACAGAAAACAAACAGGUGAAAAUAGUUGUAAGAAAAUAAGAGAGAGACACACCUGACCCAGAGAGAGAUCGAAAUAGUCAAUGAUCUACGUUCAAUAACAGAUGGAUCAUCAAAGAUCCCGAUCCCUUCUCCACCCCCAGACGCACAUUUCGUAACAUGUCUGUGUAAUGUAUCCUACUCGUCUGCUGCCGCCCCCUUCU